AUUUGAGUUGCCCUUCCAGCUCAAAUUAUUGAGAUUAGGCAGCUUAGCAAAUCCUUACUACAUAAAGUUUGUAGGUUAGUAAAAAUUUUAUACUUUAUAUCGUUGUUAUAAAUAGAAAUCUUGCAGUUAGCAAAAUUAUGUCCCUUCCUGAAAAGACUUUUAACAAGCUAACAGCUCCGGAAAUAUUGAGUCUUGCCCUGAACAGCAUUAAUGCAAUCGAAAGAGGCACAUACAAAAAUCUUCUAAGUUUACUCGUUUUAGAUAAUAAUAAUAACCUGAAAUCUACAGCUGCCGAUUAUUUUUCAACUUAAGCAGUCUUACCAGCCUUUAUUAAGGAACCACAACGAUAACGAUUUUGAAACUGUGGAACACUGCAUUUUCUAACUUAAACGGCUUGAUGGAUUUAAAUAUAACACUAAAGGAAAAAAUUCAUUCUACACCUCUAUCUAUAAUAUUACUCCUGAUGUCAGUUGUUCUCAUGAGGGCCAAAGAGAAUUAAUUACUGCUUUUGUUUUGAAUAAAUGUGACUCCCAAUAAACACCUAAAACACCAGCCAAAUCAUUUGUUGAAGCUGUACCUUCUGUAUCUACAAUCAUGACCAUGUCGACACCUUUGACUCCGCAAAGUUCCACCGAAAAGGGAAAUAAUACAGGGAAGACAGUAGUAUUAACUUUUCUGUUUGU